CUACGUGCCAGCAGCCGCGGUAAUACGUAGGGCGCGAGCGUUGUCCGGAAUUAUUGGGCGUAAAGGGCUUGUAGGCGGUUGGUCGCGUCUGCCGUGAAAUCCUCUGGCUUAACUGGGGGCGUGCGGUGGGUACGGGCUGACUUGAGUGCGGUAGGGGAGACUGGAACUCCUGGUGUAGCGGUGGAAUGCGCAGAUAUCAGGAAGAACACCGGUGGCGAAGGCGGGUCUCUGGGCCGUUACUGACGCUGAGGAGCGAAAGCGUGGGGAGCGAACAGGAUUAGAUACCCUGGUAGUCCACGCUGUAAACGUUGGGCACUAGGUGUGGGGGCCACCCGUGGUUUCUGCGCCGUAGCUAACGCUUUAAGUGCCCCGCCUGGGGAGUACGGCCGCAAGGCUAAAACUCAAAGGAAUUGACGGGGGCCCGCACAAGCGGCGGAGCAUGCGGAUUAAUUCGAUGCAACGCGAAGAACCUUACCAAGGCUUGACAU
rnacentral:rRNA from 1 species